UACAGAGGUGUCAAACGUUGUCCGGAAUUACUGGGCGUAAAGGGCGCGUAGGCGGCCUUAUAAGUCAUUUGUGAAAGCUCUGGGCUCAACCCAGGAAUUGCAAGUGAUACUGUAAGGCUUGAGUUCGGUAGAGGAGGGCGGAAUUCCAGGUGUAGCGGUGAAAUGCGUAGAUAUCUGGAGGAACACCCGUGGCGAAGGCGGCACUCUGGUCCGAAACUGACGCUGAGGUGCGAAAGCUAGGGUAGCAAACAGG
rnacentral:rRNA from 1 species